CUGCUCUGCUGGAGUUUUGGAAGUGAGCCUAGGAUAGGGGUUUAUUGAACCAGUUUGCCAGAGAAAAGCUCUGCAAAUAUAACUUCUGCAUUAACAUUGAAGGCACUUCCAAAUUUCAAUAGGGUAAACUGUUCACUAGGACUGCUAAAGGACCUUCUACAUAAAGAAGAAAUAGUAGAUGUCACUGAAUACAACAGUUUUCCAUGUUUCAUAUAACGUUGUAUAACUGAGCUUGGGAUGCAAGGAGUGAGAAAUGGUAGUAAUACAGAGUUGAAUCCUCUUCAAAUAGUUAGCCAUCGAGAGACUGUUUCUCAGUGGUGUUAACAAAAGGUUUGUAUUUGGAGUGGGUUUUAGCAAGGGUUUGAUGUUUCAGUAAUGAUCUAAACAAGAGAAGAGACCUCAUGUGUUAAACGAUACCAUCCAAAGCAGUUGGACUCAAAUUAACACCUUUUGCAAAUUGCUCCAAAAAAAAGUCAAACAUGAUUUUUUUUUCUGUUAGUAGGACAAUUCCUCUUCUUUCGAUUCCUCCAGUUUUCCUAUCUUGAAAUGUUGCUAGCAGCAAGUUUCUUGAAGUGUUUCUUUCACUUGUUGUUGCUUUUGUUGUGGUGUUUUUCCUUUGUUUCAAAUUACUACUUUGGCUCAGUUUUACACCACUGCCAUCACAAGAAGACAUUUUUUAAUUUAUCAUUUAUUUACUAAUUUUUUUCUUUUUUUUUUUUCCUGUUGGGGGAGGGAACAAAAACACAAUCCAGUCUCUUCCAUAACAUUCAACACACAAAUUCCUUGGCAGAAUUGAUGGGAUUGGCUGAUAGAGGUGCCUGAAUAUCAACUCUUUCAGCUUGUUUUGUGUGCAAGAUUGGCAUAGCCAGCUCUUCUGUCAAGACUGACAGCAGACAACUUCUAUAUAGGGAGUGUCUAAGUUGCUUGCUUCACUACCCUGUUAGCUAUGCUGGAAACUAUUAGUGGCUGAAUCAGUCUCUUACUACAAAAUGUUUUUCUAGCGUUUUAAGAUGAUAUACAAAGCUUGUUAUAAAAUUCCUUAAAUUUAAGUGUGUUUCCCUUUUGUGUUUUGUUUUAAGCUCAGAUCAUUUCAUAGGAAGAUGUUUCAAGCAAGCUAAUGUUACUCAUAUUUUUUCUCUCUUUUUUUUUCUAUUUCUUUCUCUAAUUUUUUACCAAGCAAGCAGAGUAGUAGUUUACUCUGUUGAUGAACUGAUUAAUGCAGUGGGCUACAAUGAUGUAGCCUUUACAAGGCAUUUGCUUAAAGUCUGCCAAAAGAACCUCAUGGAUACUCUAGCAUUCAAAGUGAAAUAUGGGGAGUGUGAAAUGAAGCAGUCCCUUUCUCACCCAUCUAAGCCUAGCU